GACCGGUUGGCGCAAUGGUAGCGUAUAGACCUCCUACUCCAACAUUCUCCAACCAUCUGGAGCAAUGUGUAGAGGUCAGUCUAGGGUUGCGGGUUCGAGUCCCGUGCUGGUCG
rnacentral:tRNA from 1 species